rnacentral:rRNA from 1 species
GGGGAAUAUUGGACAAUGGGCGCAAGCCUGUUCCAGCAAUGCCGCGUGUGUGAAGAAGGCCUUCGGGUUGUAAAGCACUUUUAUCUGGAGCGAAAUCUGCAGGGCUAAUACCCAUGCAGUCUGACGGUACCAGAGGAAUAAGCACCGGCUAACUUCGUGCCAGCAGCCGCGGUAAUACGAAGGGUGCAAGCGUUACUCGGAAUUACUGGGCGUAAAGCGUGAGUAGGUGGUUUCUUAAGUCUGCUGUGAAAGCCCCGGGCUCAACCUGGGAACUGCAUUUGUGACUGCAUAGCUGGAGUGCGGCAGAGGGGGAUGGAAUUCCGCGUGUAGCAGUGAAAUGCGUAGAGAUCGGGAGGAACACCAGUGGCGAAGGCGGCUACCUGGACCAGCACUGACACUGAGUCACGAAAGCGUGGGGAGCAAACA